rnacentral:rRNA from 1 species
GCCUACAACCAUGCUACCCUGAACAAGCUCGAUCCUGUCUGAUCUGGGAAGCUAAGUAGGGUCGGGCCUGGUUAGUACUUGGAUGGGAGACCACCUAGGAAGACUAGGUGUUGUAGGCA